GCAGUCGACGGUACAGGAAGAGCUUGCUUCUUUGCUGACGAGUGGCGGACGGGUGAGUAAUGUCUGGGAAACUGCCUGAUGGAGGGGGAUAACUACUGGAAACGGUAGCUAAUACCGCAUAACGUCGCAAGACCAAAGAGGGGGACCUUCGGGCCUCUUGCCAUCGGAUGUGCCCAGAUGGGAUUAGCUAGUAGGUGGGGUAACGGCUCACCUAGGCGACGAUCCCUAGCUGGUCUGAGAGGAUGACCAGCCACACUGGAACUGAGACACGGUCCAGACUCCUACGGGAGGCAGCAGUGGGGAAUAUUGCACAAUGGGCGCAAGCCUGAUGCAGCCAUGCCGCGUGUAUGAAGAAGGCCUUCGGGUUGUAAAGUACUUUCAGCGGGGAGGAAGGGAGUAAAGUUAAUACCUUUGCUCAUUGACGUUACCCGCAGAAGAAGCACCGGCUAACUCCGUGCCAGCAGCCGCGGUAAUACGGAGGGUGCAAGCGUUAAUCGGAAUUACUGGGCGUAAAGCGCACGCAGGCGGUUUGUUAAGUCAGAUGUGAAAUCCCCGGGCUCAACCUGGGAACUGCAUCUGAUACUGGCAAGCUUGAGUCUCGUAGAGGGGGGUAGAAUUCCAGGUGUAGCGGUGAAAUGCGUAGAGAUCUGGAGGAAUACCGGUGGCGAAGGCGGCCCCCUGGACGAAGACUGACGCUCAGGUG
rnacentral:rRNA from 1 species